rnacentral:tRNA from 2 species
GAGGGCGUGUUGUAAUUGGCAGCCUGGUUGUUUACCAAGCAGUCGGAGCGGGUUCGAACCUCGUCGUCUCCACCA